rnacentral:lncRNA from 1 species
CUUCCUGUUCCCCAGUGACUCUGCUAUUUCAGGCUGCUUGUCUGAAUCUCCUUGAGGAAUCCUCUUUCUUCCAAAUAGUCAGGCUUCAAAAAAGAAGUAUCAAGACGGCGAUGACUGUUGCUCUGUUUGCAUGGAAACAGAAGUUUGAUGGGAACACAUAGCUAUGAUGAUUCCUGAGGGACGGUCUGAGGAAGGAGGAGGCUGGAGAUGAUGUCCCUAACAUAAGGAGGCAAUUGGCAGAGAUGUGAGGUGGGGGUCCUGUGCUUCAGCCAGAAGGACUUCAGGGAGCAGGAGGCUGGAAUUUCAAGACGUGGAAAAAUAGACUGGGGAUGGUCUGCGGUGGUGCAAGGUGUCAAUUGGCAGGAGAAAAUGAGAAGCUUGACCUGGAAGAAAGGCAUUAGUCUGGCACUUCACGUUCGCAAGACCCAACCCUGAAACUGCUACAUUUACCAGCUGGGAGCAGAACUGCAGUGACUUGUUCAGAGUCAGGCUUUGAAUUCAACAUUUUUGUGUGUAAUUUUCAUUUGAAUUCAGACCAUGCUUUCAUUCUUUUGAUAAAGAACUUGAAAAAAUACACUAUUUAAUAGCAAUUCUGUCUGGAUAGAUUAAGAUAAUAAAGAAGGAUGCAACUAAUUCCA